UACGUAGGGUCCGAGCGUUGUCCGGAAUUAUUGGGCGUAAAGGGCUCGUAGGCGGUCUGUUGCGUCGGGAGUGAAAACUUACAGCUUAACUGUGAGCGUGCUUUCGAUACGGGCAGACUUGAGGCAUUCAGGGGAGAACGGAAUUCCUGGUGUAGCGGUGAAAUGCGCAGAUAUCAGGAAGAACACCCGUGGCGAAGGCGGCUCUCUGGGACGGUACUGACGCUGAGACGCGAAAGCGUGGGGAGCGAACAGG
rnacentral:rRNA from 1 species